UAAAAGACCUGUUGUAUAAUUCAACGGGUCUCUUAUGUGCGUAAGGGCCCACCACAAACCUCACUUUUCCUUUUAAUUUUUUUCUUAAAUAUUUUUACCCAUAGACCCAUAGAUAUUCGUAUUCAUUAUACAUUAAUUACGUGACUCUCUCUUUCUCCUUCAUCAUUUGACUCUCAUCUCAUCUGAAUUUUUUUUAAUCAUAGGGAAAUUAAUGGCUUGAUGCGCCGCCAACUCAUUAUCUACAACUUUGUUGCAUCCUCAUACCGACUUUGAUACAUCGUCGUCCUACACCGGCGUUGCCUCCUCCUCUUGUGAAAAAUCUAGAUCUAGAGUCUUGUGGUCAAAUUUGCACAAAUUAUGUAACAAUUCAAUUAGUCUUGAAAAGGAGGAUGAACAAUGAUCAAUUCAAAAAACUCAGUAAGCUGAUGAAUGGAGGAUAAAAGGAAUUACAAAGAUGUAUUUCGUUCACUUGUCGUAUAAAAUGAUGGGAAUGUUGGAAUGUUCUUUAUUUUGGUAACUUAUUAUAAUUUAUUCAACCCACAUUCACUUAACCAUGUUAAACUUGGUGGAUGCAACAAACAACCUGUCCUUCUAGGCGGCAAGAAGUAAUGAAUACAAGGCGCACAUCAGAUCCUUCGUGCAAGAUUCCAUGAUUUUUUUUUAUCAUUCAUCUUUAUUCCCCCAUUCAUGUCUAUCAUAAGUUUUCCAUUUCGAAUUUCUAUAUGUUUCGUUCACCUUUUCCAUUAAUAAAAUGAGCAUAUUUCC